UACAGAGGGGGCAAGCGUUGUUCGGAAUUACUGGGCGUAAAGGGCGCGUAGGUGGCCUUCUAAGUUGAACGUGAAAUCCCUGGGCUCAACCCAGGAACUGCGUCCAAGACUGGGAGGCUUGAAUCCGGGAGAGGGAUGCGGAAUUCCAAGUGUAGCGGUGAAAUGCGUAGAUAUCUGGAGGAACACCGGUGGCGAAGGCGGCAGCCUGGACCGGUAUUGACACUGAGGCGCGAAAGCGUGGGGAGCGAACAGG
rnacentral:rRNA from 1 species